UACUUAUUAAGAAAGACCGAGGGAACUGGCCCAUUGAAGUCUUGACAACCUGCCGAUUUGGUAAGGUGUUACAUUCAGCCUUUGAAAAAAGGAAAGAUAAGUU
rnacentral:ncRNA from 2 species